rnacentral:tRNA from 1 species
GCCGUAGCUCAGUGGUAGAGCACUUGCCUAGCAUGCAUGAGGCACUGGGUUCGAUCCUCAGCAUUGCA